rnacentral:rRNA from 1 species
CCUACGGGAGGUAGCAGUGAGGAAUAUUUGUCCCUGGACGAGCGUCUGAACCAGCCAAGUAGCGUGAAGGAUGACUGCCCUAUGAGUUGUACCCUUCUUUUCUAAAGGACUAUAACGAGUCACGUAUGCCUUUUUGCAUGUACUUUAUGAAUAAGGAUCGGCUAACUCCGUGCCAGCAGCCGCGGUAAUACGGAGGAUCCGAGCGUUAUCCGGAUUUAUUGGGUUUAAAGGGAGCUUAGAUGGGUUGUUACGUCAGUUGUGAAAGUUUGCGGCUCAACCGUAAAAUUGCAAUUGAGACCGGCAGGCUUGAGGACAGUUGAGGUAGGAGGAA